AAUCAGCUUGUGUGUUAGUGGAACGGUCUGGAAAGUCCGACGGUACAGGGUGAUAGUCCCGUACACCAAAAUGCACAGGUUGUGAACUCGAAGAGUAGGGCGGGACACGUGGUAUCCUGUCUGAAUAUGGGGGGACCAUCCUCCAAGGCUAAAUACUCCUGACUGACCGAUAGUGAACCAGUACCGUGAGGGAAAGGCGAAAAGAACCCCGGCGAGGGGAGUGAAAAAGAACCUGAAACCGUGUACGUACAAGCAGUGGGAGCACCUUCGGGUGUGACUGCGUACCUUUUGUAUAAUGGGUCAGCGACUUAUAUUCUGUAGCAAGGUUAACCGUAUAGGGGAGCCGCAGGGAAACCGAGUCUUAACUGGGCGUUAAGUUGCAGGGUAUAGACCCGAAACCCGGUGAUCUAGCCAUGGGCAGGUUGAAGGUUGGGUAACACUAACUGGAGGACCGAACCGACUAAUGUUGAAAAAUUAGCGGAUGACUUGUGGCUGGGGGUGAAAGGCCAAUCAAACCGGGAGAUAGCUGGUUCUCCCCGAAAGCU
rnacentral:rRNA from 1 species